GGUGGUUCUCAGGUGACACACCCUGAAAUCGGGAUCCCUCUUCUCUGGUUCUGGGUGAGUCACCUGAGAACCGCU
rfam:Myotis lucifugus cont2.16883, whole genome shotgun sequence.